rnacentral:misc_RNA from 1 species
GAUGAAGAACGCAGCGAAAUGCGAUAAGUAAUGUGAAUUGCUGAAUUCAGUGAAUCAUCGAAUCUUUGAACGCACAUUGCGCCCGCUAGUAUUCUGGCGGGCAUGCCUGUCCGAGCGUCAUUUCAACCCUCAAGCCCCCGGGCUUGGUGUUGGGGAUCGGCGAGCCUCCGCGCCCGCCGUCCCCUAAAUCUAGUGGCGGUCUCGCUGUAGCUUCCUCUGCGUAGUAGCACACCUCGCACUGGGAAACAGCGCGGCCACGCCGUUAAACCCCCAACUUCUGAACGUUUGACCUCGGAUCAGGUAGGAAUACCCGCUGAACUUAAGCAUAUCAAUAAGCGGAGGA